rnacentral:rRNA from 1 species
CCUUGUACACACCGCCCGUCACACCAUGGGAGUGGGUUGUACCAGAAGUAGGUAGAAUAACCGCAAGGGGUUCGCUUACCACGGUAUGGUUCAUGACUGGAGUG